rnacentral:tmRNA from 1 species
CACCAUUUGCCCCGCAUUGCGCAGGGUACAUGAUGGGGCCGAAACAGCAUCGACGUGUGUUGAAAGACGGUGUGUUUACCCGGCCUGAAUGAGCCGUAAAACCGUUCAAAACCUAUAAGUGCCAACGAUAACGAAGCACUUGCUCUGGCUGCAUAACUAAGGGCCUUCGUGGCCUGAAGUUAUCCAAAUAGAACACGGUGGAGACUGCGCCGGGUAACAGAAGCAGAAACCGGCGGCCUGGGGGUGCCGAGCAACAGAAACCCCCACC